GCACCCAUAGCUCAGUGGUUAGGGCACUGGCUAUAUGCUCCAGGAUGGUGGGUUCAAACCUGGCUGGGGGCC
rnacentral:tRNA from 1 species